rnacentral:rRNA from 1 species
AUGCAAGUCGACGGGCUCUUCGGAGCAAGUGGCGGACGGGUGAGUAACGCGUGAGAAUGUGCCUUCAGGAUGGGGAUAACAAUAGGAAACUAAUGCUAAGACCCAAUGUGCCUUAAGUGGUGAAAAAUGAAAAUUGCCUGAAGAGGAGCUCGCGUCUGAUUAGCUAGUUGGGGUGGUAAAAGCGCACCAAGGCAACGAUCAGUAGCUGGUCUUAGAGGAUGAGCAGCCACACUGGGACUGAGACACGGCCCAGACUCCUACGGGAGGCAGCAGUGGGGAAUUUUCCGCAAUGGGCGAAAGCCUGACGGAGCAAUACCGCGUGAGGGAGGAAGGCUCUUGGGUUGUAAACCUCAAAACUUAGGGAAGAAAAAAAUGACGGUACCUAAUUUAAGCAUCGGCUAACUCCGUGCCAGCAGCCGCGGUAAUACG